UAGGGAAUCUUCCGCAAUGGACGCAAGUCUGACGGAGCAACGCCGCGUGAGUGAAGAAGGAUUUCGGUUCGUAAAACUCUGUUGUUAGAGAAGAACAGCGCAUAGAGUAACUGUUAUGCGUGUGACGGUAUCUAACCAGAAAGCCACGGCUAACUACGUGCCAGCAGCCGCGGUACUACGUAGGUGGCAAGCGUUGUCCGGAUUUAUUGGGCGUAAAGCGAGCGCAGGCGGUCAAUUAAGUCUGAUGUGAAAGCCCCCGGCUCAACCGGGGAGGGUCAUUGGAAACUGGUUGACUUGAGUGCAGAAGAGGAGAGUGGAAUUCCAUGUGUAGCGGUGAAAUGCGUAGAUAUAUGGAGGAACACCAGUGGCGAAGGCGACUCUCUGGUCUGUAACUGACGCUGAGGCUCGAAAGCGUGGGUAGCAAACAGG
rnacentral:rRNA from 1 species